rnacentral:rRNA from 1 species
GACGAACGCUGGCGGCGUGCCUAAUACAUGCAAGUAGAACGCUGAAGCUUGGUGCUUGCACCGAGCGGAUGAGUUGCGAACGGGUGAGUAACGCGUAGGUAACCUGCCUGGUAGCGGGGGAUAACUAUUGGAAACGAUAGCUAAUACCGCAUAAGAGUAGAUGUUGCAUGACAUUUGCUUAGAAGGUGCAAUUGCAUCACUACCAGAUGGACCUGCGUUGUAUUAGCUAGUUGGUGAGGUAACGGCUCACCAAGGCAACGAUACAUAGCCGACCUGAGAGGGUGAUCGGCCACACUGGGACUGAGACACGGCCCAGACUCCUACGGGAGGCAGCAGUAGGGAAUCUUCGGCAAUGGACGGAAGUCUGACCGAGCAACGCCGCGUGAGUGAAGAAGGUUUUCGGAUCGUAAAGCUCUGUUGUAAGAGAAGAACGAGUGUGAGAGUGGAAAGUUCACACUGUGACGGUAUCUUACCAGAAAGGGACGGCUAACUACGUG